UACGUAGGGGGCAAGCGUUGUCCGGAUUCAUUGGGCGUAAAGAGCGUGUAGGCGGCCAGGUAGGUCGGUUGUGAAAAACUGGAGGCUCAACCUUCAGAGGUCGACCGAAACCAUCUGGCUAGAGUCCGGGAGAGGAGAGUGGAAUUCCUGGUGUAGCGGUGAAAUGCGUAGAUAUCUGGAGGAACACCGGUGGCGAAGGCG
rnacentral:rRNA from 1 species